rnacentral:rRNA from 1 species
CGGACGGGUGAGUAACGCGUGGAAAACCUGCCGUAUACUGGGGGAUAACACUUAGAAAUAGGUGCUAAUACCGCAUAAGCGCACAGCUUCGCAUGAAGUGGUGUGAAAAACUCCGGUGGUAUACGAUGGUUCCGCGUCUGAUUAGCUUGUUGGUGGGGUAAUGGCUCACCAAGGCGACGAUCAGUAGCCGGCCUGAGAGGGUGGACGGCCACAUUGGGACUGAGACACGGCCCAAACUCCUACGGAAGGCAGCAG